rnacentral:rRNA from 1 species
AAUGGAGGCAACUCUGACCCAGCCACGCCGCGUGGAGGAUGAAGGUGCUAUGCAUCGUAAACUUCUUUUGUCAAGGGAGAAAGUGCGUGAUUUUUCACGUUUUGACGGUACUUGGCGAAUAAGCAUCGGCUAACUACGUGCCAGCAGCCGCGGUAAUACGUAGGAUGCAAGCGUUAUCCGGAAUCACUGGGUUUAAAGGGUCUGUAGGCGGUUUAAUAAGUCAGUGGUGAAAUAUCUGGGCUCAACUUGGAGGGUGCCAUUGAUACUGUUAAACUUGAGAUAGAAUGACGUGGGCGGAAUGUGUCAUGUAGCGGUGAAAUGCGUAGAGAUGACACAGAACACCAAUUGCGAAGGCAGCUCACGAAGCCUAAUCUGACGCUGAGGGACGAAAGCGUGGGGAGCAAA